rnacentral:rRNA from 1 species
GACAGAGGUGCCGAGCGUUAGGCGGAAUCACUGGGCUUAAAGCGUGUGUAGGCGGAUCCGUAAGUACCUUGUGAAAUCCCACGGCUCAACCGUGGAACUGCUUGGUAUACUGCGGGUCUUGAGCCACCUAGGGGCGAGCGGAACAAGUGGUGGGAGCGGUGAAAUGCGUAGAUAUCACUUGGAACGCCAAUGGUGAAAACAGCUCGCUGGGGGUGUGCUGACGCUGGAGACACGAAAGCCAGGGGAGCAAACGGG